UGGUAGAUGCACCCUGAUAAUUGACUGCCUAGUGGACUUUCGGCUACUAGGGCUUUUUUUU
rfam:Tolypothrix bouteillei VB521301 scaffold_11, whole genome shotgun sequence.